UACUAUACUAAACGUGAACAGCUUCGAUUUUUCUCAUAAUUUUGAGUUUACUUUCUGGGUACCUGUUUUACUCACACGUGUAAUCCUGCUUAAUUUGUCUGUCCAUAUUUCUUCUUUGUGUACGUCUUGGGGCUCUACAGCGAUUUGGAAAAGUUUGGUUCGUGUGCUCCCGAAGUUGGGAUUCACUGAUGGGCUGCCUUGGUGCUUUUCUGGUGUGGCCGUAGUCAUGACCUGGUUAGGACAGCGGUGGCUAUCAUUACUAUGGGCCAUGAUAGAUCAUCAUACACCGCUUUGACUGAUGUGUGGAAACCUCUUGGCGACUCGCCUCCUUCUUCUCCUAACUCAGCUGCCAGAAAUUUCUAGAGGGCUCGAGUUCCCCCUGCGUCCUCUCUCGCGCUCCGCGUCGUAGCGUGUUGGACGCGUGGGCUCACGCUCAGCAAUUUGGUGGCGGUGCCGCCGGCAAACGGUGCGGGGACAGCGGUGUCGUGGCGGUGGCGGACGGGGCACAUGGCGGCGCGGCGCUACAGAGCGACAGAGAGGGGAGGAAAGGGCUCCAGGAGAACCAGAAGCUCACGACGAGCGUGUCGGGGAGGUGGCGAGGCGGGGGGUGGUCGGAAGCUGCGGAAGACCGGAUCAAUUCUGGCAAUACGGGCUUUCCGGAUUGCUAUGCUUGGCGGAGAGGAUGCGGACGAGGUGGUGGUGCUUCCAAGCGGCCCAGUACAGCUCGAGGAGCCCGGCUGCCACGACGAUUUGCGGGCGGGGGAAGCCAGGAGACGGUCGAGGAUUUGAUGUGUGGGUAUGCCCUCCUCCAACUUUGCUCCCGCUUUUAGAAACAAUACUCCCUCAUGGCUGGCGAGGUCGUCGUGGUGCCGCCCCGUCGCCGCUGCACCAACCGGUUAUUAGGUGACAGACCCGAGUCGCCGGGAUGCGCCUCCGCGGUCCGUGGUCGUCCAAGCAGAGGGACGCGGAGAGAGGGGCGGAGAGGGACGCGGAGGGAUGGCGGAUAGGGAUGCGGAGGGAGGGCGGAGAGGGAUGCUGGGGCUUCGUCGCCGGGGCCGGUCGUCGCCUUCGCCGCCGUGUUCGUAUGGUACGGGAGAGACAAAGACGCACUUCGAUGGGUCGCCCCCUUCCUCUUGUUCCUAGCCUUUUUUCUUUGCGAUUCUCUUUCCUUGCCACACCGGUUACGAUUCUGUCUUACCUAGAAAUAUUCCCCAUAUAUUGCCUACGACCGGCGGUUUGUCCCACGGGCCAUGCUAAUCCUGGUUUCCUGUCAGGUCUUGCUCCUCUUUCUCAUCUUUCUUUGAUUUUACCGCACUUGCAUCUCUAUGAUGAUUGACGUAUGUUAGUUCUGGUUCGUUUGACCAUUGGUGCUUGGACAAUUUACUAGGAAAUGCAUUUUAUUUGUAGGAUUCGAUUUUUUUAUUUUGUAGUGGCCAUGCUGUUGCAUUUAUUAUCUGUAAACGGCUGUUCCAACUUUGGUGCUUCAAUUGAUUAGGAGGUCAUCCCAUAUACUCCGUAGUUUAGUGGUGUUGGAGGAGCAUUUUUCUAUAUGAAACUACAUCUGUUGAUUCACAAUUACUCAGUUGAUUCUGAAUUCUACACCAGACUGGAAACUAUAAUCAUUUUUUGUGCCUUUUUAAAACCAUGCUUAGACCUUGACCUGGAAGUACAAAGAUUGAACACCACGGUGAACCAUUGAGAAACAGGAACCGCCUCCGCCUACUUCUCUUCCUCUCUGGUUCGCCAUGUUGCUUCGCCCAGCUCUGACAGACUCCCUCUGUUGUGCUCUGGAAGACUGGAAGCAUGAAACUGGGGGCGGUCUGUACUUUGGUGCCGGAUGCUACCAACGCUAAUUUGAUCUGGUUGAUGUUUUGGAUUUGGUAUAUUUCUUGUUCUUGCUCGCAGGUUGUAUAGACCGGGUGCCCCUCGCCACCCCUCAUUGCUCCUGUCGGCACAUACAUGGGAGGAGACGAAGGAAGAACUGGUGAGAUGAUCUCAUGGCAGGCGUAAGGUCAUGGGCUUUCUAUCUCUGCUUUGGGAGUUUUUGAUUUUUAGUGAGAUUCUUGGGUACACGCAACUGAUGGCACCGGGCUAAGAACAGUAUGGUGAUUUCAUAUGCCCACAUGGUGUUCACUGAAAUGCCUGCAAUAUUGAGUGAGUUCCUCCGCCAAUGAUUACUUAAGCAUGUCGAUUGUGAUCUCCUUCCAUGUGGCAGUAGCUCAGGGGUGGCUGCAUAUGUGCAUCUUUACUUUCUUUUUGGGGCACGCAUGAUGAAUUUGAUAUGUAGUUGUUCUUUUUUAGGCCAAUGAAGAAUGCACUAUGUCAUCUUUCAGGUUUCCUGGGUAGGUAAAGAUCAUCGAGUGUAAAUGGCGUAGUACAAAUUAUGUGGGCCUAUGUUUUUGUCUGAUGGUCGUCAGCCUACCAUGUGUACAUUUAAAUUACUCACAUAACUUAUAUGUAGAUACUGACCCUUUCAUCAGUGAUUUGUGCGGUUAUUUGAUUUACCUAUUUA